GUAGCUCCAUAGUUAGCGCCCUACCACCGAGACCAGAGAUAGCGGUACCCUGAGUCGGCUACUUAGGGAUGUAAGAAAAUAAAUGGAAUAAGAACUUAGUUGUAGUAAUUUGUAAUAAAAGUAUGAUUGUAUUUGGAGGUUAAUUGUUAUAUGUAAUUGUGAUGUAAAAUGAAUCUAAUGUGAAUGCUUGUAAUAACAUAGGAUGUGUUAUGUUGUUGAUAUCUUUCUUCUGCAAUCUUGCUUGAAUAUUGUUCCUGGUUGGAACUCAUUGUACUUGUAUUGAUUGCUAUGCCUUGAACGUACAGGGGAGACUCUGUCCGCAGUACAGGGGAAACCCUGUCCAUUCGGCGAUCUGUUGGCGUGCCCGAAACCGACCAAAUAGGCGGGCUCGGGGCGUGACAAUCAUCGUGGGCCCUCAGCUUCCUCCCGCUAAGACCGUCCUCGGGUUGACUCCAACCCGUGAUGCAAAACUCCAGAGCGCAUCGCUCGAGGAGGAGCUACCGCCCUCGAGCACGGAACUCAUAGCAAGUAUGAUCGAUCCUUAACUCUAAGGAUA
rnacentral:lncRNA from 1 species